rnacentral:tRNA from 1 species
GAGGGUAUAGCUCAGUGGUAGAAUGCAUGCUUAGCAUGCACGAGGUCCUGGGUUCAAUCUCCAAUGCCUCCA